UGAAGGUGGAGAUGGUGAUGGAGUCGGUCCAAAAGGCGCAGGGCUGCAUGCUCGUGAAGCCACCAUCGAUGUACCUCUGCAGUUGAGCGGUUGGUAAUCUACUGGAUCACCUAGCAGACUGGCAAUCUAGUCAGACCUGACAUCCCUACCUUAAAGAGUGGGUGGCUUUGAUGUACCCAGAGUCUCUGCUGACUACCAGCUUUCUGUGACCCUGCCGCUGUCCUGGACCAGGCCCUGGACUCAAAGGACGGACGGCGACAGAGGUCCCAGGAAGAACUUCUUCACCUCGGCCAGGCC